AGGUGGGAGCGGCGGAAGGGCGAGGAACGCGUGGACAAUCUGUCCACUGGGUGGGGAUAACCCCGUGAAAACGGAGCUAAUACCGAAUGUGGCAUCGGAGCACAUGCUCUGAAUGUUAAAGGGCGGGACCGCAAGGCCGCCCCCCCAAGUUGAAGAGUCCGCGUACCAUCAGCUUGUUGGCGGGGUAACGGCCCACCAAGGCUUACGGUUAGCUGGUCUGAGAGGACGACCAGCCGCACUGGGACUGAGAUACUGCCCAGACUCCUACGGGAGGCUGCAGUCGAGGAUCAUUCGCAAUGGGGGCAACCCUGACGAUGCGACGCUGCGUGGAGGACGAAGGCCUUCGGGUUGUAAACUCCUGUCAUGAGGGAAGAGGGAAGGGCGAGUAAUACUCGCGCCGACUUGACGGUACCUCAAGAGGAAGCCACGGCUAACUCUGUGCCAGCAGCCGCGGUAAUACAGAGGUGGCGAGCGUUGUUCGGAUUUACUGGGCGUAAAGGGCGCGUAGGCGGCCGUGUGUGUGGGGUGUGAAAUCUCCGGGCUCAACCCGGAAAGUGCGCCCCAAACUGCACGGCUCGAGUUCGGGAGGGGGGAUCGGAAUACAGGGUGUAGCGGUGAAAUGCGUUGAUAUCCUGUAGAACACCGGUGGCGAAGGCGGAUCCCUGGAACGAUACUGACGCUGAGGCGCGAAAGCAAGGGGAGCAAACAGGAUUAGAUACCCUGGUAGUCCUUGCCUUAAACGGUGCACACUUGACGCGGGGGGAUUUCACCCCCCCCGUGUCGGAGCUAACGCGUUA
rnacentral:rRNA from 1 species